UCGGAAUUUGACAAUAGCAAUUAAGGUGGAGUAAUAUACUAAUAUGGGCUGGGCAACAAAAUUGCUGCAACUUGCAACAAAAUCUGAUUUCUGCGCAUGUUAAUUGAAAUGUUUUGUCAACAUUUCUACUUAAAAUGCGUUGAAAUCGGCUUUUGUUCCAGAAAUUUUGUUGCAGCAAUUUUGUUGCGCGUAUUACUCCAGCUUAAACAGCUUUAACAACAAUUAAUGCAGGCUACCCACAUGUACGCAGCGCGUACCUAUUUUUUUACAUACCUACAGGGGUC
rnacentral:lncRNA from 1 species